rnacentral:rRNA from 1 species
CAACUUUCAGCAACGGAUCUCUUGGCUCUCGCAUCGAUGAAGAACGCAGCGAAAUGCGAUAAGUAAUGUGAAUUGCAGAAUUCAGUGAAUCAUCGAAUCUUUGAACGCACCUUGCGCCCCUUGGUAUUCCGAGGGGCAUGCCUGUUUGAGUGUCAUUAAA